AUUGAACGCUGGCGGCAAGCCUAACACAUGCAAGUCGAACGAGUGGCGGACGGGUGAGUAAUGUCUGGGAAACUGCCUGAUGGAGGGGGAUAACUACUGGAAACGGUAGCUAAUACCGCAUACCAUCAGAUGUGCCCAGAUGGGAUUAGCUAGUGGGUGGGGUAAAGGCUCACCAAGGCGACGAUCCCUAGCUGGUCUGAGAGGAUGACCGGCAAAACUGGAACUGAGACACGGUCCAGACUCCUACGGGAGGCAGCAGUGGGGAAUAUUGCACAAUGGGCGCAAGCCUGAUGCAGCCAUGCCGCGGGGAUGAAGAAGGCCUUCGGGUUGUAAAGUACUUUCAGCGGGGAGGCGUUACCCGCAGAAGAAGCACCGGCUAACUCCGUGCCAGCCGCCGCGGUAAUAC
rnacentral:rRNA from 1 species